GACGAACCGAGCGAACGUUAUUCGGAAUCACUGGGCUUAAAGGGCGCGUAGGCGGGCAUUCAAGUCUGUGGUGAAAUCCGGCAGCUUAACUGUCGAACUGCCAUGGAUACUGGGUGUCUCGAGGGAGGUAGGGGCGUGCGGAACUAUUGGUGGAGCGGUGAAAUGCGUUGAUAUCAAUAGGAACUCCGGUGGCGAAGGCGGCACGCUGGACCUCUUCUGACGCUGAGGCGCGAAAGCUAGGGGAGCAAACGGG
rnacentral:rRNA from 1 species